rnacentral:rRNA from 1 species
AUUGAACGCUGGCGGCAGGCCUAACACAUGCAAGUCGAGCGGUAGCACAGAGGGCUUGCUCUCGGGUGACGAGCGGCGGACGGGUGAGUAAUGUCUGGGAAACGGCCUGAUGGAGGGGGAUAACUACUGGAAACGGUAGCUAAUACCGCAUAACGUCGCCAGACCAACGUGGGGGACCUUCGGGCACAAUGCCAUCAGAUGCUACCAGAUGGGAUAAGGCAGUAGGUGGGGUAAUGGCUCACCUAGGCGACGAUCCCUAGCUGGUCUGAGAGGAUGACCAGCCACACUGGAACUGAGACACGGUCCAGACUCCUACGGGAGGCAGCAGUGGGGAAUAUUGCACAAUGGGCGCAAGCCUGAUGCAGCCAUGCCGCGUGUAUGAAGAAGGCCUUCGGGUUGUAAAGUACUUUCAGCGAGGAGGAAGGCGUUAAGGUUAAUAACCUUGGCGAUUGACGUUACUCGCAGAAGAAGCACCGGCUAACUCCGUGCCAGCCGCCGCCGUAAAAC